rnacentral:lncRNA from 1 species
AACCAGAGGCCUUGAAACAGACUAAUGACUCAUUGUGAUGGACAGUUGCGAGUCAAGCUGAUGGGACAAAGGGAUAUACUAUAUAACACACUGAAGCCCCUAAUGCCAUCAGGAUGGAUGAAGAGGUGAUGGGGAGGCAGGAGAGAAGGAGAAGCCAAGAUUUUGUUGUUUCAGGGAAAACUCCCCAAGACUGUAAUAGUGGAAGACUAAGGCAUUUCAGCUACUAAAACUGCCAGUACGACUGACCUACCAACCAACCAACCAUGAGAUGCGAUGGCCCCUGAGGAUGUGCACAUCCUGGUAGCACUUACCGGUUAGAGAUGUGUGGCAAG